rnacentral:rRNA from 1 species
UCCCAGACUCCUACGGGAGGCAGCAGUGGGGAAUAUUGCACAAUGGGGGAAACCCUGAUGCAGCAACGCCGCGUGAGUGAAGAAGUAUUUCGGUAUGUAAAGCUCUAACAGCAGGGAAGAAGAUGACGGUACCUGAAUAAGAAGCCCCGGCUAACUACGUGCCAGCAGCCGCGGUAAUACGUAGGGGGCAAGCGUUGUUCGGAAUGACUGGGCGUAAAGGGUGCGUAGGCGGUGUAGCAAGUUAGAAGUGAAAUACCUAGAGCUUAACUCAGGUGCUGCUUCUAAAACUGCUAUACUUGAGUGCAGUAGAGGAAAGUGGAAUUCCUAGUGUAGCGGUGGAAUGCGUAGAUAUUAGGAGGAACAUCAGUGGCGAAGGCGACUUUCUGGACUGAAACUGACGCUGAGGCACGAAAGCGUGGGGAGCGAACAGGAUUAGAUACCCCGGUAC